rnacentral:tRNA from 1 species
GGGAUCGUAGCUCAGUUUGGUUAGAGCGCUGCCCUGUCAAGGCAGAGGUCGCGGGUUCGAGCCCCGUCGGUCCCGCCC